rnacentral:rRNA from 1 species
UGAGUGAUGUCUGGGAAACUGCCUGAUGGAGGGGGAUAACUACUGGAAACGGUAGCUAAUACCGCAUAACGUCGCAAGACCAAAGAGGGGGACCUUCGGGCCUCUUGCCAUCAGAUGUGCCCAGAUGGGAUUAGCUAGUAGGUGGGGUAACGGCUCACCUAGGCGACGAUCCCUAGCUGGUCUGAGAGGAUGACCAGCCACACUGGAACUGAGACACGGUCCAGACUCCUACGGGAGGCAGCAGUGGGGAAUAUUGCACAAUGGGCGCAAGCCUGAUGCAGCCAUGCCGCGUGUAUGAAGAAGGCCUUCGGGUUGUAAAGUACUUUCAGCGGGGAGGAAGGGAGUAAAGUUAAUACCUUUGCUCAUUGACGUUACCCUCAUAAGAAGCACCGGCUAACUCCGUGCCAGCAGCCGCGGUAAUACGGAGGGUGCAAGCGUUAAUCGGAAUUACUGGGCGUAAAGCGCACGCACGCGGUUUGUUUAGUCAGAUGUGAAAUCCCCCGGG